UACGUAGGGAGCAAGCGUUUGUCCGGAAUCAUUGGGCGUAAAGCGCGCGUAGGCGGCCCCGUAAGUCCGCUGUGAAAGUCAAAGGCUCAACCUUUGAAAGCCGGUGGAUACUGUGGGGCUAGAGUCCGGAAGAGGCGAGUGGAAUUCCCGGUGUAGCGGUGAAAUGCGCAGAUAUCGGGAGGAACACCGGUGGCGAAGGCGGUUCUCUGGGCCUUACCUGACGGCUGAGGAGCGAAAGCGUGGGGAGCGAACAGG
rnacentral:rRNA from 1 species